AUUUUACGCAAUACCGAUGACCGACGUAAUUGCUCCCCGUCACGGGUACGGUCACGGCGAGGCGCACGGUCACGUCCGUUCGCAGGAGUCGGCGCGCGAUCGUCUCCGUCCGUCGACGAGCGAGCAGCGAGCACGAUGAUGAGCGGCGCGUACGUGUGGAGAUUCGCAAAAAUCGCCAGGCACGGGCUUUUACCUCCUCCUACCCCCCUCGCUAUUACCACUCCGCGGAUCCCGGCGCUCUGCCGACAACGAACCGACGGCUCGCGCCACCACCGAACAGCGCUACGGACGAAUUCAACGUCCACCGUUGUAACCGCCGUUGCCACUAUCACCACCACCGCAGCCGUAACUGGCAACAACACCGACGACAACGACGACGACGACGUCGUUUUCACGGGUCACAGUGCUCCGUAUGUUAUCCGUGCAUCGAUUAUUCGACAGCUGAUCAUGGAGCUUGAGAAUUGCAACGCGCAUGGAGACCAGGAGAACACGGGACCCAACACGCCGCAGCACGACAAUGACCCGAGUGGCAACAAAAAGUGGUACCGCCAGGCCAGUCAAAGAAUCUUCGUCAAUCGGAGUCUCCAUUUGGAGAACAUCAAGUUCUAUGGCUUCGAUAUGGAUUACACGUUGGCGGAGUAUAAAUCGCCGCAGUAUGAACAAUUGGGUUUUACGCUGCUCAAGGAUCGGCUGGUGUCUUUGGGAUAUCCGCAGGAAAUCAAGGCCUUUGAAUAUGAUCCUAGUUUUCCCGUUCGUGGAUUGUGGUUCGACACUCUGUACGGGAAUCUCUUGAAAGUAGACGCGUACGGGAACAUCCUGGUUUGCGUUCAUGGCUUUGAAUUCUUGAAACACUCUCAGGUCUACGAGCUCUAUCCGAACAAGUUUCUACAAUUAGACGAAUCUAGAGUCUACGUGCUCAACACAUUGUUCAACCUGCCGGAAACGUAUCUGCUGGCGUGUCUGAUAGAUUUUUUCACAAACUCGCCGCAGUUCACUAGAGAGAAGACCGGAGUGAAAGAAGGUGAGCUCACCAUGAGCUUCAGGAGUAUAUUUCAAGACGUUAGGAGCGCGGUAGACUGGAUACACCUUCACGGUGACCUGAAAACGAAAACUAUCGAGAACUUGGACGAAUACGUGAAGAAGGACGAGAGGUUGCCUAUGUUCCUUACGAGAAUCCGGGAGAGCGGAGCGAAGGUGUUUCUAUUAACUAACAGUGAUUACGUUUUCACGGACAAAAUUAUGACUUACUUGUUCGAUUUUCCACAUGGCGCACGGCCUGACGAGCCGCAUAGGAACUGGAAAACGUACUUCGAUACGAUUGUAGUAGACGCCAGAAAGCCAUUAUUCUUUGGAGAAGGGACGAUCUUGCGACAGGUGGACACGAGAACGGGUGCUCUGAAACUUGGCACGCACAAGGGGCCGCUGCAUACAGGGGAGGUGUACUCGGGAGGCUCAUGUGAUGUGUUCACCGAAUUAAUCGGCGCCAAGGGGAAAGAUGUGUUAUACGUCGGCGAUCAUAUAUUUGGCGAUAUCUUAAAGAGCAAGAAGAUAAGAGGCUGGAGGACCUUCUUAAUAGUUCCCGAAUUGGUUCAGGAGUUACACGUUUGGACAGAUAAAUGUCAAUUGUUCGCUGAAUUGCAGAGUCUAGAUGUUAUGCUCGGAGAAAUGUACAAAAAUUUAGAUAGCAGCACAAAGGAGAAACCAGACAUUUCCAAGUUACGCACGUCCAUAAGGGAUGUCACACAUAAAAUGGACUUGGCGUAUGGAAUGAUGGGUUCUCUGUUCCGCAGCGGAAGUAGGCAAACGUUCUUCAGCAGUCAGGUCGUAAGAUGCCCCACGAAAGUACAGUAGCUCAUGAGCAGAGGUUUGUCAUGGAAACACCGAUGAUCAGUCGUUCUCGGACAUUCAAAUUGACAGAUGAGGAAGAAGAACACAAUCGACCUACCUCUACUUUAUUCGUGGACCAUUAUAACAGUCAAAUUCCACACGCCAGACCGGAAACGCCACGUAACGUCA
rnacentral:misc_RNA from 1 species